GAUGAACGCUGGCGGCGUGCUUAACACAUGCAAGUCGAACGAUGAAGCCCAGCUUGCCGGGUGGAUUAGUGGCGAACGGGUGAGUAACACGUGAGUAACCUGCCCUUGACUCUGGGAUAAGCCUGGGAAACUGGGUCUAAUACUGGAUAUGACUUCUCAUCGCAUGGUGGGGGGUGGAAAGAUUUAUUGGUCUUGGAUGGACUCGCGGCCUAUCAGCUUGUUGGUGAGGUAAUGGCUCACCAAGGCGACGACGGGUAGCCGGCCUGAGAGGGUGACCGGCCACACUGGGACUGAGACACGGCCCAGACUCCUACGGGAGGCAGCAGUGGGGUAUAUUGCACAAUGGGCGCAAGCCUGAUGCAGCGACGCCGCGUGAGGGAUGACGGCCUUCGGGUUGUAAACCUCUUUCAGUAGGGAAGAAGCGAGAGUGACGGUACCUGCAGAAGAAGCGCCGGCUAACUACGUG
rnacentral:rRNA from 1 species